rnacentral:lncRNA from 1 species
AUGGGUCUCUGUGGGGUCUCUGUGGUUCUCUAUGGGGUACUAUGGGAUUCUAUGGUUCUCUAUGGGUCUCUAUGGGUCGCUAUGGGUCCCUAUGGUGUUUCUAUGAGUCUCUAUGGGUCUCUAUGGGUCGCAGUGGUUCUCUAUGGGGCACUAUGGGUUUCUAUGGGUCUCUAUGGGUCGCUAUGGGUCUCUGUGGGUCUCUAUGGGUCUCUAUAGGUCUCUAUGGUUCUCUGUGGGUCGCUGUGGGUCGCUAUGGGGCACAGUGGGUCUCUAUGGUUCUCUAUGGGUCCCUAUUGGGUCUCUGUGGGUCUCUAUGGGUCUCUAUGGGAUCUCUAUGGGUCUCCAUGGGUCUCAGUGGGUCACUAUGGGUCUCUAUGGGUCCCUAUGGGUCUCUUUGGGAUCUCUGUGGGUCUCUAUGGGUCUCUAUGGGUCUCUAUGGGUCGCUAUGGGUCUCUAUGUGUCUCUAUGGUUCCCUAUGGGUCUCUAUGGGUCGCUAUGGGUCUCUAUGGGUUUGUAUGGGUCCCAAUGGGUCUCUACAGGUCUCUAUGGGUCUCAGUGGGUCUCUAUGGGUCGCUGUGGGUCGCUAUGGGUCUCUAUGGGGUCUCUGUGGUUCUCUAUGGGGCACUGUGGGAUUCUAUGGUUCUCUAUGGGUCUCUAUGGGUCUCUGUGGGUCCCUAUGGGUCCCUAUGGGUCUCUAUGGGUCUCUAUGGGUCUCUAUGGGUCCCUAUGGGUCUCUAUGGGUUUCUAUGGGUCCCAAUGGUUCUCUACAGGCCUCUAUGGGUCUCAGUGGGUCUCUAUGGGUCGCUGUGGGUCGCUGUGGGUCGCUAUGGGUCUCUGUGGGGUCUCUGUGGUUCUCUAUGGGGUACUAUGGGAUUCUAUGGUUCUCUAUGGGUC